AGUUGUGGGAGAGAGUUGACCAA
rnacentral:snRNA from 1 species